GACGAACGCUGGCGGCGUGCUUAACACAUGCAAGUCGAACGGAAAGGCCCUGCUUUUGUGGGGUGCUCGAGUGGCGAACGGGUGAGUAACACGUGAGUAACCUGCCCUUGACUUUGGGAUAACUUCAGGAAACUGGGGCUAAUACCGGAUAGGAGCUCCUGCUGCAUGGUGGGGGUUGGAAAGUUUCGGCGGUUGGGGAUGGACUCGCGGCUUAUCAGCUUGUUGGUGGGGUAGUGGCUUACCAAGGCUUUGACGGGUAGCCGGCCUGAGAGGGUGACCGGCCACAUUGGGACUGAGAGACGGCCCAGACGCCUACGGGAGGCAGCAGUGGGGAAUAUUGCACAAUGGGCGGAAGCCUGAUGCAGCAACGCCGCGUGCGGGAUGACGGCCUUCGGGUUGUAAACCGCUUUCGCCUGGGACGAAGCGUGAGUGACGGUAAUGGGUAAAGAAGCUCCGGCUAACUACGUG
rnacentral:rRNA from 1 species